GCUGAAGUACUCUGGACACUCUGGAGCUGAUUCCUGAGGGUUUCCAAAUAAAGUCAGGUAACAGACAUUUUGGUGAGUGCACGGUGGCUUUGGAAGUGAAUUUGUCCCUAAGGAGGUCAGUCAUUGGGCAGCGCUUUUUGUGUGUAGAUGGUAGUCCUUCGAGGACUUGGUCAGCAGCUGCAGGGCUGGCAGCAGCUGGAUCCGAAGCUCUCGGGGAGGCUCCCAGUCAGGCAGACGCACGUGGGGAGGUAGCAGGUUCUGGUGCAGAUCACGGGUCCAGAGCAGGCUGGCUGGACACAGAUGCUGGGCUGGCAGCAGCUGGGUUGGCAACAGCUGGGCUGGCAGCAGCUGGGCUGGCAGCUGGGCUGGCAGCAGCUAGUUUGGCCACAGGAGCUGGACUCACAGCAGCUGGGCUGGCAACAGGGCUGGCAGCAGCUGGACACACAGCACCUGGGCUGGCAGGUAGGGGUGCUGUAGCAGCUGGUCACACAGGUGGGCUUGAAGCAGGUCCUGCAGCAGGUGGUUUGGCAGCAGGUUGGGCGGCAGCAGGGCUGGCAGCAGCUGGAGCCACAGCUGGUUUGGCCACAGCAGCUGGGCUGGCAGCAGGGGGAGCUGCAGGCUGGUUUCCAGCAGGUGGUCUUGCAGCAGGUGGUCGUGUAGCAGGUGGGCUGGCAGCAGGGGGAGCAGCAGCAGAGGGUCAUGGUGUCAGGUGUGGAGGGCG
rnacentral:lncRNA from 1 species